UUCUCGGUCUUCCGUCUCUAACCUAAUGAACAGCUCCAUGGAAAUGGAGAAAUCGGUAAGUUGUUUCAACCAAAAAUAAUAAACCCACCCUUCUCUCGAUUCUUCUUCUGAAGUCACUUAAUAAACCCAACCUUCUCUUGAUUCUUCUUCUGAAGUCCCUUAACUCACUUGUCGAUCUGUAAAUCUCAAAUCUGUUGGGAACAUAUUCAAUCCAUUUUAGGGUUUUAUCAAAAUCUCUAACUAAAUCUGAAUAAAUAAUCAUCGUAUGAAUGAUUACUGCUACAGCUGGUGGUCUUUUAGGGUUUGAGAAUCUGGAGUUAUUCUUUGAAGAUUUACUUUAUUCGAUUCAAUUUUUUGUUAAUGAAGUUAUGAAAUCCAUAUUUUCCUCAGGUAAGAAACACACCAUGGGGUGAAAGGGUAUCAUUUGUUUUCAAUCCUUGCUCAGAUCUUAUUGCAAAGCCGUUGCAUGUGACUCCAUUUAUGGAUAUGCUUUGGAAUUGGACCAUAAAAGCAACUGCACCUGGCAAAUUAUCUUUUAGUGUCAGUUUCUCUUCGGCGCCCCAACCUGGGAGACUACUUCACAGCUACUUUGAAGUUUGAAUGUUAAAAGAGUCUUCUGGGGCAUCAGACCCAGCAUUGUUGUUUUGGCUGAUGCCUCACGAAGUUGCAUUGUUGAUAACUGGCAAGCUCUCAAGUUGUGGUGGAAAAACGUUCACAUUGUACCACACCCCAGAGAAGAAGCUUUAAUGCGGGAUGGCAAACUCCAACGUUGUCCUGUAUUUGUGAAGGAAGAUGAUGCCAGUUUCUCCAAUGUUGCGGCUGACAAUAAUGACCAGAAACAUAAGUAUGUACGUUGGAGAGAAGCUCAGUGGCCAUUGGCUUGGUCACUUGUAUCAGUAUAGGUAUGUGUUGUUUGUUCCCUUAAACCAUAACCAUCGGCGAAAUCUGCACCUUGUCCCAAGAAUUGGGGAUAAUAGGCGCUUUGUCUGUAUGAGUGUAGGCAAUAUGCUGCGAAUUCUCUGGGUGUUAUUUAAGUUAUACUUCCGCAAUGCAAUUCUAGCAGUAUCAUAUACAUCUCUGAAGUCAUGAUGAUCCAUUUCAGGGUGUCUAAAAUUGUGCUAAAUCUUUUAAGCACUAAGAAAUAUUGAAAGUGGAUGUUAUUAUAUCCAUUUUUCGUAUGGUAUGCACAUGUGAUGCUACAUCAGCUGUCAUUAUUUCUUUGCAGUAUUACUAAUUUUCUUGGUA